CCUACGGGUGGCAGCAGUGAGGAAUAUUGGUCAAUGGGCGAGAGCCUGAACCAGCCAAGUCGCGUGAGGGAGUACUGCCCUAUGGGUUGUAAACCUCUUUUGUCGGGGAGCAAAAGCCGGACGUGUCCGGCUGUGAGAGUACCCGAAGAAAAAGCAUCGGCUAACUCCGUGCCAGCAGCCGCGGUAAUACGGAGGAUGCGAGCGUUAUCCGGAUUUAUUGGGUUUAAAGGGUGCGCAGGCGGAUUUUUAAGUCAUCGGUAAAAUCGUGGGGCUCAACCCCAUCCAGCCGUUGAAACUGGGGAUCUAGAGUGUGCGAGAGGUAUGCGGAAUGCGUGGUGUAGCGGUGAAAUGCAUAGAUAUCACGCAGAACCCCGAUUGCGAAGGCAGCAUACCGGUGCACAACUGACGCUCAGGCACGAAAGCGUGGGUAUCGAACAGGAUUAGAUACCCCAGUAGUC
rnacentral:rRNA from 1 species